rnacentral:rRNA from 1 species
UACGUAGGGUGCAAGCGUUAAUCGGAAUUACUGGGCGUAAAGCGUGCGCAGGCGGCUAUGCAAGACAGAUGUGAAAUCCCCGGGCUCAACCUGGGAACUGCAUUUGUGACUGCAUGGCUAGAGUACGGUAGAGGGGGAUGGAAUCCGCGUGUAGCAGUGAAAUGCGUAGAUAUGCGGAGGAACACCGAUGGCGAAGGCAAUCCCCUGGACCUGUACUGACGCUCAUGCACGAAAGCGUGGGGAGCAACGAGG